rnacentral:rRNA from 2 species
GAAGUUCCUUCGGGAAUGGAUUAGCGGCGGACGGGUGAGUAACACGUGGGUAACCUGCCUCAUAGAGGGGAAUAGCCUUUCGAAAGGAAGAUUAAUACCGCAUAAUAUUGUAGUAUCGCAUGAUGCGGCAAUUAAAGGAGUAAUCCGCUAUGAGAUGGACCCGCGUCGCAUUAGCUAGUUGGUGAGGUAACGGCUCACCAAGGCGACGAUGCGUAGCCGACCUGAGAGGGUGAUCGGCCACAUUGGGACUGAGACACGGCCCAGACUCCUACGGGAGGCAGCAGUGGGGAAUAUUGCACAAUGGGGGAAACCCUGAUGCAGCAACGCCGCGUGAGUGAUGACGGUCUUCGGAUUGUAAAACUCUGUCUUCAGGGACGAUAAUGACGGUACCUGAGGAGGAAGCCACGGCUAACUACGUGCCAGCAGCCGCGGUAAUACGUAGGUGGCAAGCGUUGUCCGGAUUUACUGGGCGUAAAGGGAGCGUAGGUGGAUAUUUAAGUGGGAUGUGAAAUACUCGGGCUUAACCUGAGUGCUGCAUUCCAAACUGGAUAUCUAGAGUGCAGGAGAGGAAAG